UACGGGGGGGGCGAGCGUUGUUCGGAAUCACUGGGCGUAAAGGGCGCGUAGGCGGCCCGCACAAGUCUGCGGUGAAAACCCCCGGCUUAACCGGGGGCCGGCCGUGGAAACUGUCGGGCUAGAGGCCGGGAGAGGGCAGCGGAAUUCCCGGUGUAGCGGUGAAAUGCGUAGAGAUCGGGAGGAACACCGGCGGCGAAGGCGGCUGCCUGGACCGGCCCUGACGCUGAGGCGCGAAAGCUAGGGGAGCGAACGGG
rnacentral:rRNA from 1 species